UCUCAGGAAAUGCAUUUCAUGUCUCUCAACAACUCUCGCAUAGACCGAGAAAGGCUAUGGUCUAUAUGGAAGAAGGUGGAUGUCGUGGAACGAUUUCACCCUAUGAUUUUCACCUCUGUGCUCUAUAAGUUCCCUGCUGUAGCGUUCACUCGGUUCUGAUCAUGGCGGCAAUGAAGAACUUCUCUUCCAAUCUGGUGAUGACAGAGGUGAAGAUCUUCUAUCAGAUUAGGCAGUAGGAUUUACAUUAAUUUGAUAAUUGUUCAGGGUUACUGAUCACCGAAGACAAGAAGUUUGGUCCAUACCUUCUAAUGACACGAUAUUGUUGCCUAUUUCAUAGAGAGAUUCUUGAAUAUGAAGUAGAACAGGAAAUAUGUAUUUUGGAAGGGAAUAUCACCACCUACCAGACUAUGACAGCAGUAAGCAGCAUAGCACUACAUUAAUAAUGCAUGUAUAUAUGCAUGUAUUGACUUACAAUGUGUUUGGAUUGUUAAAAUAAAUUUGUAAUUUUAAAUUGUGUUAUAUUCAGCUUGUGACUUAUGGUUGAAUGCAUAUGGUGACAAAAAAAAUAGAUAGAAUCAUCUUAUUUAGA